AUCCAGGUAGCGCAAUGGAUAGCGCAUUGAACUUCUAAUAAGAAGGUCGGUGGUUUGAAUACUUCCUUGGAUG